rnacentral:rRNA from 1 species
GAUGAACGCUGGCGGUAUGCUUAACACAUGCAAGUCGAACGGACUCUUCGGAGUUAGUGGCGGACGGGUGAGUAACGCGUGAGAAUCUGGCUUUGGGUUCGGGACAACCACUGGAAACGGUGGCUAAUACCGGAUGUGCCGAGAGGUAAAAGAGAAAUUGCCUGAAGAUGAGCUUGCGUCUGAUUAGCUAGGUGGUGAGGUAAAGGCUCACCAAGGCAGCGAUCAGUAGCUGGUCUGAGAGGAUGACCAGCCACACUUGGACUGAGACACGGCCCAGACUCCUACGGGAGGCAGCAGUGGGGAAUUUUCCGCAAUGGGCGAAAGCCUGACGGAGCAAUACCGCGUGAGGGAAGAAGGCUCUUGGGUUGUAAACCUCUUUUCUUAGGGAAGAACAAAAUGACGGUACCUAAGGAAUCAGCAUCGGCUAACUCCGUG